rnacentral:rRNA from 1 species
GAAGGGGGCUAGCGUUGCUCGGAAUUACUGGGCGUAAAGGGAGCGUAGGCGGAUAGUUUAGUCAGAGGUGAAAGCCCAGGGCUCAACCUUGGAAUUGCCUUUGAUACUGGCUAUCUUGAGUACGGAAGAGGUAUGUGGAACUCCGAGUGUAGAGGUGAAAUUCGUAGAUAUUCGGAAGAACACCAGUGGCGAAGGCGACAUACUGGUCCGUUACUGACGCUGAGGCUCGAAAGCGUGGGGAGCAAACGGGAUUAGAUACCCUGGUAGUCCACGCUGUAAACGAUGAGUGCUAGUUGUCGGCAGGCAUGCCUGUCGGUGACGCAGCUAACGCAUUAAGCACUCCGCCUGGGGAGUACGGUCGCAAGAUUA